rnacentral:rRNA from 1 species
AUUGAACGCUAGCGGGAUGCUUUACACAUGCAAGUCGAGCGAGCGGCGGACGGGUGCGUAAUGUCUGGGGACUGCCCGAUAGCGGGGGAUAACUCCUGGAAACGGUAGCUCAUACCCCAUACUCUCGGAUCACCCGUAUGGGAUUAGCUCGUAGGUGGGGUAAUGGCUCACCUAGGCUCUGAUCCCUAGCUGGUCUGCGAGGAUGAUCAGCCACACUGGGACUGAGACACGGCCCAGACUCCUACGGAGGCAGCAGUGGGGAAUAUUGCACAAUGGGCGCAAGCCUGAUGCAGCCAUGCCGCGUGUAUGAAGAAGGCCCUAGGGUUGUAAAGUACUUUCAGUCGGGAGGCGUUACCGACAGAAGAAGCACCGGCUAACUCCGUGCCAGCAGCCGCGGUAAUAC